rnacentral:pre_miRNA from 1 species
GGCACAAACUUGAAGUAGAAUAGUUGGGUAUGGUCAGCUGAUCCUACUAAUCUACCUUACUACUUAAGUUUGUGCUC